ACAACUAAAGCAAAGAAGAAAAAAACCCUAAGAGUAAAGCUUCAGUCCGCCUCCCUCCAGCACCAUUCUUCUUCUCACGCUCAUCUUUCUCAGAUCCUCACUUGGUCUCAGAUUUCGUCAUCGGUGUUUAGCGUCAUCGAGUGUGAAUUGAUUAUGAGUGUUAUUUGCAGGUUUUGAAUCCGUGGAUGUCGAAGAACCGUUGAAUUUGAAGCUGCUACUUGUAUGGAACGAAUUGAUGCAAUUCGGUGUGUUCGUGGUGGUUGUCCACGGCUCUUGUUCCUGCUGAGUGUUGUAUACGAUUUGAGGUUGUUGAAGAUUGAUUUACUCGGUGCAUUGAUGCGAUGAUUUGUUGCCAAAGAUACGCGUCGGGGUUGUCGCCAUUUGUUUACGAAACCAACGUUCCAACUACUUUCAUCGAAGUACCAGCAAGAGAAUGGUAUAAACAAUACUACCAACAGAUGCAAUCCGUAGUAAUGUCAUUCGAGUAUGUUUUGGGCCUCAAAACGCAGCUUCUUAUGCAAGUCUGGCAAUAAAAUCCACGUUGAAACAUUUUAGAUGUUUGAAGAAGGAAAUUUCCGACUAAAUUCAGUCCAAUAAUAAGGAUUGUUUUCACUCAAACAAUAGAAGGGACGAGGCUUCGAGAUUUGGAAAUAACAAACAAUAGGGCUUGGCUGUUUUAACAUUUUCUGCAUCUCCUUGUGUUGGUUGAACGUAACUAUAGGGACUUCAAGACAAGAUCCAAUUGGUUCCUUUUGAUCUUCAAAAUAGACUUGCAUGGCAUAAGGAAAAAGUAUAUCCUGAAAAUAAGAUUUCAAUGUCUCUGAGAUACAAGUUGAAGUUGUUUUUAAUAUGAGCCUAAGAAAACUGACCCUUGAGGAGCAUAUUUGAACUAUAAGCUUUGUGCUGUGCAAAGCAACAACUUUGUGGCUGAAAAAAAUCUUUGACUGAAUAAAUUUCCAAGUUAGAGGAGCUGUCGUCAACCGGAAAAAAUAUUCUGGAGCGUAGAAAACAACAAACAACAACCAUUGAUGGCAUAUAAAAGGUGGUGCAUGAUGAUAGAGAUUAGCUUAUUCUUUUAUGUAAAUAAUAAUUAUCAUUAGUAAUUUUUUUUACCAAGAUGUUUAUGUUAUAGUUAUGUAAUAACUAUGUAGAAUAAUUUUGGUAAUAAUUCAU